rnacentral:rRNA from 1 species
AGCGAACGCUGGCGGCAGGCCUAACACAUGCAAGUCGAACGAACCUUUCGGGGUUAGUGGCGGACGGGUGAGUAACACGUGGGAACGUGCCUUUAGGUUCGGAAUAACUCAGGGAAACUUGUGCUAAUACCGAAUGUGCCCUUCGGGGGAAAGAUUUAUCGCCUUUAGAGCGGCCCGCGUCUGAUUAGCUAGUUGGUUGAGGUAAUGGCUCACCAAGGCGACGAUCAGUAGCUGGUCUGAGAGGAUGAUCAGCCACAUUGGGACUGAGACACGGCCCAAACUCCUACGGGAGGCAGCAGUGGGGAAUCUUGCGCAAUGGGCGAAAGCCUGACGCAGCCAUGCCGCGUGAAUGAUAAAGGUCUUAGGAUUGUAAAAUUCUUUCACCGGGGACGAUAAUGACGGUACCCGGAGAAGAAGCCCCGGCUAACUUCGUG